rnacentral:rRNA from 1 species
UCGAGUGGCGAACGGGUGAGUAACACGUGGGUGAUCUGCCCUGUACUUUGGGAUAAGCCUGGGAAACUGGGUCUAAUACCGAAUAUGACCACUUCUUGGAUGGGGUGGUGGAAAGCUUUUGCGGUAUGGGAUGAGCUCGCGGCCUAUCAGCUUGUUGGUGGGGUAAUGGCCUACCAAGGCGUCGACGGGUAGCCGGCCUGAGAGGGUGUACGGCCACAUUGGGACUGAGAUACGGCCCAGACUCCUACGGGAGGCAGCAGUGGGGAAUAUUGCACAAUGGGCGCAAGCCUGAUGCAGCGACGCCGCGUGGGGGAUGACGGCCUUCGGGUUGUAAACUCCUUUCGCAACCGACGAAGCUUUUGUGACGGUAGGUUGAGAAGAAGCACCGGCUAACUACGUGCCAGCAGCCGCGGUAAUACGUAGGGUGCGAGCGUUGUCCGGAAUUACUGGGCGUAAAGAGCUCGUAGGUGGUUUGUCGCGUCGUUUGUGGAAUACCGCAGCUUAACUGCGGGGUUGCAGGCGAUACGGGCAUAACUUGAGUGCUGUAGGGGAGACUGGAAUUCCUGGU